rnacentral:rRNA from 1 species
UACAGAGGUGCCAAGCGUUGUUCGGAUUUACUGGGCGUAAAGGGUGCGUAGGCGGUUGCGUAAGUCGGGCGUGAAAUACCGGGGCCUAACCCCGGAACGGCGUUCGAAACUGCGCGACUAGAGGUCUGGAGAGGUGACUGGAAUUCUCGGUGUAGCAGUGAAAUGCGUAGAUAUCGAGAGGAACGCCAGAGGCGAAAGCGAGUCACUGGACAGAACCUGACGCUGAGGCACGAAAGCCAGGGGAGCAAACGGG